AUGAAGACGUGUCAGCUGUGUUGGGAAAUGAAGGUAUGAUGAUACUACUUUAUGUCGACUAUAAUAUGUGCUAAGCAUUUAUUUGCACCCAGAAAAAUGGAUCAUGUGUUAAUAUUGAAUUAUAUAUGUAUGAAAAUUCUUCAUUGUUGAACAUGAACUGAAUUAUUUAAACUAAGUAGACAAGAAUGUGAGCAUGGAAAGCUUACACCAGUUUGGUAGGGAUAUAUGAUUUGGCUCAAUGGACAGAUUCUUCUAUGUUAAUCAUAUAGCACCAACAAUCCCAAGUUAUUAUGUUCAGAAUAAAUUACAAACUAAGAACAUUAAAAAAUUGUCUGGUUAAAUCAUGAACCAUUCUAAUGAGAUGCCUAGGAACUUUGAAUGGGUAACAGAACCUAAAGCUAUGAGCCUAAAAGAUAUUGAAACUCCUGCAAACUGUGUCAAGACCCAACCCCAAAAAAAUCUAAAACACUGGCUUGUUCUUUGGUAGUGAAAGAUGACUUGAAUGGUCCUUCGUGAUGUAAAGUAGGACUCUGAUUCACAAAUUCCAUGUGCUUC